UGGGACAUGGUGAAAUGGUAUCACAACUGACUCUGGAUCAGUUUUUCGGGGUUCGAAUCCCUGUGUCCCAGCCA
rnacentral:tRNA from 1 species